CGGCUCCCACCCCGCGCGCCCUCCCUCCCUCGCUACAACGCCGCCUGCACCCUCGCUCCGCCCUCCCCAGCUCCCCCUCUCCACGCCCCAGCUGCGGCCACCGCCGCGGCGCCCAGCGCCUUCACCCUCCACUCGCCCCGCCGAUGAGGACCCCGUUUCUACCCUCCCUCCCGUGCCCCCUCGCACCUUUCGUCCGAUCGGGCCUCUUCCUGCCCGACGGUUCCCGUGCCCGCUCACGCACCUACCUCCUCCGCCCCACACACCCCGGCCCCGCAACCUCCAACGCCGCCGCCGACACGCGUGGCCCUUCCUCCUCCGCCCCCAGCCCCAGAUCAGUCGCGACCGCCGCCGCCAACCGCGUUCGUCACGAUGGUGUCCGUCAUUGGCAAGGAGGAGGGAACCCUAGCACGGCCUCUCCUCGCGGAAAGGAAACUAGACAGCAGCGGCGUGGCCUCGCCGAUCUCCGCGUCCGCCCCCAUCUCCGUUCCUUCAGCCACCGGAAAGCAGCGGCCUCUCCUACGCCCUCCUCCUUCAUUUCUUUGGCCGGCGGACAGCAGCGGCGUCGCAUCUGCGCACCAGAUGCCGCUUGGACACAAUUGAAAGUUCUUUCUUAGAAGUCUUGCAGAAAUUCUGUUGCUGGGCAGGAUGAGAUCAUGAACAUAGCUAGCAGGCUUGAAUUGUACCAGCUCAAGCAAAAUCCGACUGAACUUUGGAGUGAAGUGGCUUCCACAAGAUGCCGCAUUAGCAGGGUGGGCUGGGAUCAACAGGUUCUUGCUCCCAGUGUUGGAGCACCAGUGCAUGCUCAACAUAAUAAGUGAUUUGGCUUCUUGUUCUGAUCACAUCGGAUUUGAGGAUUUUACUCUCAGAGCAAUUGUUGUAAACUGAUGAAUUCCUCAUCCAUUGUUGUUACUGGAUGAUUUGCAGCCUGGCCAGUGGUUGGAGGGCAAGAACCAAGCGAUUCAUUGCAUUGGUCCUGCGCUUAUUGUGAAGCCUGGCCAGUUAUUUGGCGCUUUCAUGCCUAGACAGGUGCAAGGAUUAUUUCAUUGCUUGGUGGGGUCAUGUACCUUGGUGUGCCCCUGGAAUGGUAAAGAUCUCUCAACCAUACCUUUUUCCACAUGGAAUCUGAAAUUCUAGAGAAGUCAAACAAUGAUAGCUACUUUCUUUUGUUGCCAUCAAAUGAGCAUAUUUAUUGUAACCCUGCUCUGGAAAUCAUGUUGCUUGCUGUUUCAGUUCUUAUUCAUGUGGACUUGUUUGAGUUUAGCUGGAAUGCUGGAUGCUUCAAAGGGGACCCUAGGUAGAGCUGCUACUGCGAAGUGGAUAAAGAAGCUCACUUGAAUGGUAACUGAACUAUAUCCAGUAGCAUUUGAAUGUUUAAUAGUAGUUCAUGGUCAAUGAUUGAAUUUAGGAGAAAUGUUGAAGACCCUUGUCUUUUUUCCACUGAAACUAAAAAUAGCAACCACCUUUUCUUUGUGUGCGUAGUAGUAGUCCAGAUGUGGGCUGUUAUCUAUCAAGCAAUUGAGAGAUCUGUGGGUGUUAAUUUUGAGUCCAUCAAUACUUACUGGUUUAGUACAAAAAAAAUCACUAUUGUUAAUAUGUUGCGUGCUGCUGUUUUUUGGAGUUUGUGGAAAUUAAGGAAUGACCUGUGUUUUCAUAAUGCUGAUUGGUAGAACAUGAAGGUCUUGGUCAUGAGAAUAGUGAAGAUGGUGCAAAUUGGUUAAUUCUGUGUCUGAAGAAGGAAAAAGAAUGUCUCUCGAAUGCUAUCUCGGCUUUAAAGCGCAUAGCACUCAGUUCUUGGAGAAUUGCCUGAAGAAACUACAAGCUGAUGAAGACUUUACUAAGGUCCCGGAAUAAUACAAUUGACAUCAGCACGUGUGGUAUUCCUAAAAGCAAAGCAUCAGAUUGAAUUUACUAAGAAAACAAACUAAUGAAUAGACAAAUUAAAACCCAUGGCCUUUCAUGUGUUUCCGUAAGGUUACAUUGAUACAUUUACUUGCUUAUGGAUUUCAAUGGCGAAAGAAUUUUCAGCUCCUAUGUACCUGAAGACUGAGUUCAUGUGCUGUGGAGGAUCAGCCGAUACAUGGGUCUGACUAUCUGAGCACUUGUGGUUUAGGGGAGGGAGACGAUUUGGGAGGUCCAUGUUGCAGCUACACAAAGGCAAGAAAUUCUUUUACUGCUCUGUGUAGUGGAUUUAUGUUGCUGCGUGUUGAGUGAUUUUGUUGAUCUUAUAGAGUAAAUUUUGAAAACAUACUUUAGAAUUUGUGGCAUGGUUUAGCUAUGAAUGUUUUAUCUCAGUUUCCUAUGAGAAGCGCUUUGCCAGUGGUGUUUUCCUCAGGUUGUUUUGAUUUUGGAAUUUUUUUUUUUUGCCAGUGGCUCGCUGUGUCAAAAUGACUUGUGGCUUGAAUAGCUAGAAUUGUGGUAAUAUACAUGUCAAGAUUGAAGGCUUGAACAUACCGGAUUUAA